UCGCGUUGCUAUGGCAACACAACCCACUUCCCCUGGGACCGCGUUGCCUCGGCGACAUCAGGCGGGCAACGCCGGCGGGUUAAAUCGACUCAGAGCAGCUGCCCCCUGAAAAACAGGACAGCCCUGGCCUCGGGGAGCAUGGGAGCCCAGAGGUUCAUCUCACCAGAGCCUGGGAAUGUAGAACAGCCAUGUGACUAAUGUGAUUAUCAGCUCUGUCAGAAAGAAAAAUUAGACACGAAAAUCAAGAUGAGCAUCUUCCAUGGACACCUCACUUCAAGAUCUUACCAUUAUUCCAAGCAAAGCUUUAGCAGUUGCUGAGGGAUUGGGGCAGAGGACCCAUGCUUCACAAUCCAGUUCCCUUUGGGACAUUUCCCUGCAGACCUUCUCCACCUGCCCCUGUACCCGGAAUGGGAGCAUGGAAUGAAGCAAGGGGAGAGAUCAGCACAGACCAGUCUUUGGGAAGGGAAGGGCUGGACUCCCAAACCAGCAGGCAGCUCCAGCAUCCCUGGAUGUGUUCACACUGCUCUUCCCAGGUCCCAGGGAGGUUAGGAGCUCAGCAGGAUGCCUUUGACAGAGCAGCUGGAAUGGGCAGCUUUAAGCAUCAGUGUCUGGAAUUGCAAGAAAGAAGAGGCACAUCUGUCCUCCCAAGAGGUGUCAGUGUUUCUGAAACAUCGCUUGGACAUGCUACUUCCUAGACGGAAUCUUCCAUCACUGCCCUCCAUUCCCUGGAGCACCACACUGAGUGUGGCCAUGACAUGCUGGCAUGGAACUUA